rnacentral:rRNA from 1 species
CGUGCAGGCGGUUUGUUAAGUCUAGGGUGAAAGCUCCCGGCUCAACUGGGAGAGGUCCUUGGAUACUGGCAGACUUGAGGAGGGUAGAGGAGAGUGGAAUUCCCGGUGUAGUGGUGAUAUGCGUAGAUAUCGGGAGGAACACCAGUGGCGAAGGCGGCUCUCUGGGCCCUACCUGACGCUGAGACGCGAAAGCGUGGGGAGCGAACC